CAGUAGCCGCGGUAAAACGGAGGGUGCAAGCGUUAAUCGGAAUUACUGGGCGUAAAGCGCACGCAGGCGGUCUGUCAAGUCGGAUGUGAAAUCCCCGGGCUCAACCUGGGAACUGCAUUCGAAACUGGCAGGCUAGAGUCUUGUAGAGGGGGGUAGAAUUCCAGGUGUAGCGGUGAAAUGCGUAGAGAUCUGGAGGAAUACCGGUGGCGAAGGCGGCCCCCUGGACAAAGACUGACGCUCAGGUGCGAAAGCGUGGGGAGCAAACAGGAUUAGAUACCCGAGUAGUCCCUGUCUCUUAUAC
rnacentral:rRNA from 1 species